CUGGUAAUCAUAUAUCUCUUUUUUAUACUGAAAUAUUUUGGCUUUUGAGCUCCAAAAGGGACCUGUUUGUAUUUAACAAUAUGAAAAUAUUUUUUCUUGAUUUAUUUUAGCCUUACCAACCUAUGCAAGGGUUAUGUCCUUUGUUCUAACAAAUUUCCGCUAUUGGCUUGAGUCGAACUAAGUUGAAGUAAGAAAAAUUUCACUAGUCUGGGAUCACCAUAUCUAAGCUUGUUGGUGGGCCACGCUAAAAUUCCUAGCGGCACUAUCAUUUCAUUGUCUGCCACACUUAAAAUUUCAAUUUCAAUAGAUUUAGGUUGAAGGCAAGAAACCCCUAGCCCAGCUGACUUCAAGAUAACAAGUCAACUGUUAUAAAUUAAAAAUUG
rnacentral:lncRNA from 1 species